CGCCAUGGAUUUCUUAUCAAAGCUCCGGCGGUAUGAGAUGGACCCGCGUCUGAUUAGCUAGUUGGUAAGGUAACGGCUUACCAAGGCGACGAUCAGUAGCCGACCUGAGAGGGUGAUCGGCCACAUUGGAACUGAGACACGGUCCAAACUCCUACGGGAGGCAGCAGUGGGGAAUAUUGCACAAUGGGCGAAAGCCUGAUGCAGCAACGCCGCGUGAGCGAUGAAGGCCUUCGGGUCGUAAAGCUCUGUCCUCAAGGAAGAUAAUGACGGUACUUGAGGAGGAAGCCCCGGCUAACUACGUG
rnacentral:rRNA from 1 species